CUGAUAAUAAUAAUGUAUUUUGAAAGUACUGUAGAAGGUAAGGUGCCUUUAUAUAAA
rnacentral:tRNA from 1 species